AGAGUUGAGUUAUGGCUCAGAACGAACGCUGGCGGCGCGUUUAAGCAUGCAAGUCGAGCGGCAAGGGCCUUCGGGCCCCUAGAGCGGCGGACGGGUGAGUAACACGUGGACAAUCUGCCCCCCGGCCCGGGAUAGCCCAGGGAAACCUGGAUUAAUACCGGAUGAGACGGGACCCGCGAUGGCGGGAUCCGGGAAAGGCGCUGCGGCGCCGCCGGGGGAUGAGUCUGCGUCCCAUUAGCUAGACGGCGGGGUAACGGCCCACCGUGGCGACGAUGGGUAGCCGGCCUGAGAGGGUGGACGGCCACAUUGGAACUGAGACACGGUCCAGACUCCUACGGGAGGCAGCAGCUAAGAAUCUUCCGCAAUGGGCGAAAGCCUGACGGGAAGCGACGCCGCGUGAACGAAGAAGGCCGUGAGGUUGUAAAGUUCUUUUCGGGAGGGGGAACAACCGUGGCAGGGAAUGGCCGCGGGAUGACGUGAAUCCCGGAAUAAGCCCCGGCUAACUACGUGCCAGCCGCCGC
rnacentral:rRNA from 1 species